rnacentral:tRNA from 2 species
GCGCCGGUAGCUCAGCUGGAUAGAGCGCCAGCCUCCGGAGCUGGAGGUCGCAGGUUCGACUCCUGUCCGGCGCA